rnacentral:tRNA from 2 species
CCUUGGAUGGCUCAGUUGGUAGAGCGGGGGACUGUAGAUUUAUAAUUGUGAUCCCUAGGUCGCUGGUUCGAAUCCGGCUCGAAGGA